UGGUCAGAACAAGCAACGAAUGCACAAUCUAAUAUAAAUCAUUACAAAUACUAGAAUGAUGAUUAGAUCAUUCAAAAAAAUCAUUAUAAAACAAAAACUUAGUUAUAAUUAUACUUACUACAUCCUUCGAGGGGUGAAGAGAUCAAAAAAAUUUACAUUUUUAUCCAUUGUGGCCGACAACCAUCUCAAAAUUCUUGGACAAAAAACUUCUACCUGAUAGUUCACUUGUUGUCUCAAAUAAGAAAUGACUUCAAAUGCCCAAGCCUAUAAAAUAAUACUAAUAAAUUAAAAGCAUUGUCGCACCCCAUUUUCAUCGUGAAAGGCAGGAUUCGACUUGACUCUUUUUGGAUGCGUUAAAAAAGAGUGUGAGAGUCACCACCUAACGUAUUAAGGUGUCUUAGAGCACCGGUCUAGACUACAACGAACCUAUUUUGUUGUUAACAUAGGGAAUCUACAUCACCAAAUAAAGGUCUCUCACUUUACUAUUAAUUUAAGGUUUGACUACGUGAUAAAGUAAUUAACAAACAUUUAAUUUAAUUUUUUAGCCAGUAAUCACCAAAGUGAUAAAAUCAAUAAAAAUAUGUAAAUAAGAUAAGAGAGGAGAAAGAAAUGACAAUCAUAAUAAAGAGGAUUCCUUAUAUAAUAAACUAACUACCCCAAAUAAACAUGUAAAGUGAAUAUAAAGACUUAAAAAGAAAUCAAACAAAUCAAACAAAGAUAUGUUUUGACUUAAUUUGGCUCAGAAACCCAACUUGUUAAUCAUCAUUCAACCCAGGGACCAAACUCUUAGACAAGUAAUAAUGUCAUUAACCUCGCAUUUUAAUAUCUGUUGGAAUCAUCAUUUCCAAAUGACUACUCAUCCACCCCCACCUACCCCCACCUAGGAUGGAAGUCAAAUCUGAGGACGUACGUUAUUAGCAGUACGUAACGUCCAACCUAUCAUCCAAGAGGGACUACACUAUUUUGGCUUGGUGUUCUACACACAAAGAAAGCUAUGUUGCCUAGAACUCAAAACGCAUUACACGUUGAACCAACCUCAAGUAGCACAGAAUUGUCCCAAGUUAGCCUCUUGAUUAAUUAUUGUUAAUUAAUGUGAUAGCAAGGAAAGACAAGUAAUUACCUAUUAUGUUGUUAACCUAUAGCCAUUAUGUCUAAGCAUUCAAUAAUUGAUAGUAUUAACAAUAACUGUAACUCGUACGUGUCACGCGUGUCACUAAGUGUUAACAAAAGGGGGCCAAAAGUGUAGUCAAUGUGUAAGAACUAUAAUGCUAUAUGCCUAACCUUUUAAUAAGCUAAAAUGUUAACCUUUUAAUCAGCUAAAAUGUUAAUAAUGCAAGAAUUGAAUGUUAACAUGAUUAAAUUUCAAGACUAUCAUGCUGAAAAUAGUUAGAAAAAGUAAAUGCCGAGGUUAUGUAAAUGUAUUUAGUUUAAUAUGCAGAACAUUUCAUAAUGUGCAAAAUAUAUCAAGAUGUGCAGAAAAGAUGUUAUGAAUGUGCAGGAAAUAUUUAAAAUGUACAGAAAAUGUUUUGUAAUGUACAGAAAUUAAAUGCUACAUUGUUUUAAUAACAUUAACAUGCUGAAAUUUCAUUUAAAGGUGCAGAAAAUUAGUGCUAACAUACUGAGAUAAUUAAUUAAUCAUUCUAAGGCUUAUUUUAACGUGCAGAAGUAAAAGGUGCAGAAAUUUCAACAUGCUGCAGUUUGCCUAAGCCUUUUGUUACCAUGAUGAUAAAUAUGUUAAGUGAAAGAAUUUAUACUAACAUGUUCCAGUAAGAUUGACAUGCUGAAUGCUGUAAUUUUCAUCAGUGUUAAACAUGCAAGGUUUAACAUGCUAAAAUAUAUUGGUAUGCCAAAAUUAACCGUGCUUAAAAAAUUAACAUGCACCACCAAUAUGCUAAUAUGUUUGAUGUCAAAUAAUGUAUUAAUAUGCUUGAUGUAAAAUAACUUGGUAUGUCGUUCUUAGUUAGAUCAAAAAUAAUUAACAAAUUAUGAAUUAAGUGUCUAAACUAUUUGUAUGUUAAUGAACCCUGAUAUUUUGUGCCUAAGUGAUUCAAAUAGCACGUAACAAAUAUGAAGCUUAAAUCGGUGCCUAACGAUAUUAUUCAUAGAGCACAUAGUUCCCCACCCCCAGAAGCAGUCCCCAAUUUAUUAUUACAUCACAGUGUAGCGUUUAUACAAUAUUAAAUACCAAUAAAACGAAGAAUCAACUAAACUAAAAAGGGAAAAACAUAAUCCCUCUCAAAUCCUCGAUCAACUCUUCAAUUCCCCCAAACUUGUUAAACAUAGUGGCAUAGCAUGGCAAGCACAAAGAGGCUAACGAAAAUAUCCUAAAUACAAAAUGACACAACAACGAUACAACACACAAAAGUCCAUGUAAUUCCUAAAUACAUGUUUUCUAGCAUCAUCAUAUAAGGUAUUGAAAUUACGUCGUCAGAAACAUCUGAUAUAUUUUGAUAGAGAGUAGGGAGAGUGUAAAUAUUAGAGAGUCCCUUCUUGAUGAAAGAAGAUGGGGUUUAUAUAGUGUGGAGGGGGAAUCCCUCUAGGUAUAAAAAAGGAAAAGAAAUAUACAGCAAUCAAGAAUCAAUAAAAUCAAAUUAGUGUAAAACUUACCAUAACUGUAUAAGCAAAGUAUUUUUGAAUAUAGAACAAAUAAUGGCAAAUAUGUACGAACACUAGUAUUUAAUACAAGUUCGUCAAUCAUGUGGGACAUUCUCUAUUCAAACUAAUUUAAUUAUGUCAAAGAGAGAUACAAAUAUACCAAAAAUAGGUAAGUAAGAAAAGAUAUUAUAGGAUCCACCGUACAAGCCAAGUUUAUUGGAAAUAUCGGAAGGCGGAAUAUCCUGGCAGUGAUCGAUUAUCAGAUUACCUUAAAUUAAUUCUAAAAUUGCACCAAAUCAAUUCUCUACCGUCAAUUGGGAGGAAACACAACAAAUUUGCCAUGUUAAUCACACAUAUAUAAAUCCUUAUAAUUAAGGGGUGUAAAAGACAGGGAAUAGCCACAAAUUAAGUAAAAAGAGAUGAAUCAAAAUCACUGCGACAAUCACGCACAUACAUUUUCUAUAAAGAAAAACUUGCCAAAUCAAUUAUCUCAUUUUGCCUUGAAAUAAUGUUCAAUCAAAGCAAAUAAAGACGAAGGGAGUAUCAAUCAUGAGGAAAUUCUUUUCCCUCAAAAUCAAAAUCAAACACACGCAGAAUUUAGGCAUUUUCACACGCAAUAACAUGAAUGCUUAAGCCGAUACGAAUCACAAUAAGCCUUGAAUAACCCUCAUGAUGAAAUCAAAUAAUAAAGAAAACAAGUUGACGAAGGUUGAGAACUCGAAAACACGGAAUCAAACCUUAGUCCCCAAAAUAUGUACUUUUCGGUAGGGAGAACGGAGAUGUAGCUAUGGCGGCUGUUGCAUGUGACGAAGACGUUGUUGUCGCCAGCUGAUGGCGUGAACGGAGGGGAUCUGGCGGCUGGAGUGAUUGAAUCAAGCGGUGACAAGGGGCUGGUCUUCGUUGUUCACGGAUGCUCGAGGUGGUAGCCGGUGGAGCAGCGGCGGCCCGAAGCGGAGAAGAGGAGGGGCUCGGAGGCGGCUGGUGGGCGGCGAGGUCGCGACGGAACGGGAAAGGAGGAGGACGAGAGGGGACUGGUGGUUGGUUGGCGCAGUUGUAGGAGGGGAGGCGGCGCUAUGGUGGUUUUGAGAGAGGUGGAGAGGGAGAGUGUUAGAGAGAGAGAAGGGGAGGGAGGCGGAUGAAAAGAAUUUUAGGGUUAGG
rnacentral:lncRNA from 1 species